UCAAUUCAAGCUUCUGAUCAGAUAUUUUUGAACUCAAGCCUUCUAAGAUUUUCUUAAUUUGAAAAAUCACUAUAAAAAUCUCAAGAGCAUUCAUAGCAUUAAACACUUUUCAAUUCCAUGAACAUUGUGCAAGCACAACAUUGCUGUUAUUGUUGAAGCUCAUAUUACUAACUAUCAGCCUUAAGUGAAACACAGGCCAUUAGAUGAUCUCAUUUAAUUACAUCAAUCACAAGCUAUGAGUUGAGCAACUAAACCACCAUGAUUGACUUAAUUAAAGUUACAAAUAAAAAGACAUACGCACUAGUUGGGAUCCAUAGGGUUAGUACCCCGCUGACGAAGUGCUAUGAUUACUCGGACCUUCAAGCCGUAGUGCCUAACCAUGGCCAGAAGCUCCUCGUGUGCUCGCCAACUAUAGACCCCAGGCUGCUCCCUUCUACCAGACCACACCUUAACUCUACGACAAUUCCCUCUACUCUUGUCAAGGCCAAUAAUUACAAGGAUAUUCUCAUUGACUUGCGCCUUGGCAGUAGUCCCUCAGGGCCUAAGGUGCCCCCAGGAAUUUUCACGAACACAGGCGAUCCUUCCAUCGUCCAGGUCACGAUUUGAUGCUGCAGCUCGUAUUAAAGAUCCCUGUUGUUGGGGGGAGAUAGAGCUGCGAGAAUCAAACGAGCUGGACGAGUUGAGGUGUGAGAAUAGGGUGAGUUGACCGCGAGUUUGCGAGUAAGUUGCAUAGAACUUGGAGCAAGUUAGCGACAUAGACUGGAAGUGAGUGAGGUGAGUCGACUGUGUCAGAAAGCAAUAGAAGGAAGCUGAGAAUCUUAGAGUUGACGGAGAUGCAAAUACCAUUGAAUGAGCAAAUUUUACAGUCGGAAUAUCUGCCACUAUGCAUGUGUUUUGCAGAAGUGCGAGAAACGAAGAAAGAGGAUGCAGAGUCGAGAAUAGAGAGUGCAAGGAAAACGAUGUUGACGAAAAG
rnacentral:lncRNA from 1 species